rnacentral:rRNA from 1 species
UUGACAUCCCGGGAUUUCUGGAAACAGAGAAGUGCUUUAGCAAUAAAGAACCCGGUGACAGGUGCUGCAUGGCUGUCGUCAGCUCGUGUCGUGAGAUGUUGGGUUAAGUCCCGCAACGAGCGCAACCCUCGCCUUUAGUUGCCAGCAUUCAGUUGGGCACUCUAGAGGGACUGCCGGUGUCAAACCGGAGGAAGGUGGGAUGACGUCAAGUCCUCAUGGCCUUUAUGUCUAGGGCUACACACGUACUACAAUGGCCGGUACAAAGGGCAGCCACUCAGCGAUGAGGCGCUAAUCCCAUAAAGCCGGUCUCAGUCCGGAUCGCAGUCUGCAACUCGACUGCGUGAAGUUGGAAUCGCUAGUAAUCGUAGAUCAGCAUGCUACGGUGAAUACGUUCCCGGGCCUU